rnacentral:rRNA from 1 species
UACGGAGGUUCCAAGCGUUGUUCGGAAUUACUGGGCGUAAAGGGAGCGCAGGCGGACGGGUCAGUUUAAAGUGGAAUCCCAGGGCUCAACCCUGGACGUGCUUUGGAUACUGCCUGUCUUGAGUUCGUGAGAGGAAAGUGGAAUUCAGGGUGUAGCGGUGAAAUGCUUAGAUAUCCUGAGGAACACCAGUGGCGAAGGCGGCUACCUGGCCUGAUACUGACACUGAGGCACGAAAGCGUGGGGAGCAAACAGGAUUAGAAACCCGAGUAGU